CUACGGGAUGCAGCAGUGGGGAAUAUUGGACAAUGGGGGAAACCCUGAUCCAGCAAUGCCGCGUGUGUGAAGAAGGCCUGCGGGUUGUAAAGCACUUUCGGUUGGGAGGACUGCUUCUAGCACUAAUAUUGUUGGAAGUUGACGUUACCUUCAGAAGAAGCACCGGCUAACUCCGUGCCAGCAGCCGCGGUAAUACGGGGGGUGCAAGCGUUAAUCGGAAUUACUGGGCGUAAAGCGCGCGUAGGCGGCGAGAUCAGUCGGGUGUGAAAGCCCCGGGCUUGACCUGGGAACUGCAUCCGAUACUGGCUAGCUUGAGUACAGGAGAGGAGAGUGGAAUUCCACAUGUAGCGGUGAAAUGCGUAGAUAUGUGGAGGAUCACCAAUGGCGAAGGCAGCUCUCUGGCCUGAUACUGACGCUGAGGUGCGAAAGCGUGGGGAGCAAACAGGAUUAGAUACCCUCGUAGUC
rnacentral:rRNA from 1 species